GAAUCUGUCGUUUAGUGGGGGAUAACGCAUCGAAAGAUACGCUAAUCCCGCAUACGCUCCGCAAGGAGGAAAGGCGCAAGUCGCUAAACGAGGAGCCUGCGGCCCAUCAGGUAGUUGGAGAGGUAAAGGCUCACCAAGCCGAUGACGGGUAGCUGGUCUGUGAGGACAACCAGCCAGACUGGGACUGAGAACGGCCCAGACUCCUACGGGAGGCAGCAGUAAGGAAUUUUCGUCAAUGGGGGAAACCCUAAACGAGCAACGCCGCGUGGAGGAUGAAGGUUUUCGGAUUGUAAACUCCUUUUGUGAGGGACGAUAAUGACGGUACCUCGCGAAUAAGCCCCGGCUAACUCUGUGCCAGCAGCCGCGGUAAUACAGAGGGGGCAAGCGUUGUCCGGAGUUACUGGGCGUAAAGCGCACGUAGGCGGUUGUGCAAGUGGUGUGUGAAACCAAUCAGCUUAACUGAUUGACGCCAUGCCAAACUGCACGACUAGAGUUAUGGUGAGGUUGCUCGAAUUGCCGGUGUAGUGGUGAAAUGCGUAGGGAUCGGCAGGAAGACCAAGGGAGAAAUCAGGCAACUGGCCAUAUACUGACGCUCAGGUGCGAAAGCGUGGGGAGCGAACUGGAUUAGAUACCCAGGUAGUCCACGCCGUAAACGAUGUAUGCUCGGUAUUUGGAGCUGUUAAGGCUUUGGGUACCUCAGGAAACCCGGUAAGCAUACCGCCUGGGAAGUACGAACGCAAGUUUAAACUCAA
rnacentral:rRNA from 1 species